CUUUCUUAAUCCAGAAUCUCUGCCUAAAGCUGUUUCAGCUGAGACAGGGGAUUGUUUACACAAGGUGUAGGCUCCCUCCUCUCCACCUGGUUUCUGUCUGGGCCACACUGUUAGGGAUGAGGGCAAUACAUCAUUUAUCUUGGCCUCAUUUCACAGGCAGGUCCUGCUGUCAUUGUGCUGUCGGUGUCUGGACGUGCAGCAUCCUGAUAACCGUGCUCUGCUCUCUGGUGGGCCAUCCUGGAGACCCUGCUUUCACUGGACAGCUGCCAAGUGUUGCCUGCUUCAUCAUUUGUGGCAUUUACCUGCCAUGUGCUAUCAUGUGAACCCACGGUGGCGAUGGGAAGGGAUCCAUGGGAGGAGAGACUGCAUGGCUGUCAACAACCUCUUGGCAGGAAUCCUGCCUUACCCUGGAGAAAGGAGAUGCUGAGUCCUUGGCACAGACAGUCCUGUGAGCUGUGCAGGAAUCAAAGCAACUCUGCCAGAGAAAAAGAACACCAGUAAAUCUCCGGAUGUGUUGAGUGAGACAGCGAAAAGUGGCAUAAAAUGUAACAAGAAAAAUGUCGUGGCAGCUGAGGAUGUGUCAGUCAGCCUGCCGAGCACCUCUGUCCUUUGCAAAUUCUCAGCAAGAAUGCCUUCUAAGAGCUUUGAAUUCAGAAAAUGCAAUGAGCUAGGAUUUCAAACACCUCGAGUCUUUCAAGGAUG
rnacentral:lncRNA from 1 species